rnacentral:lncRNA from 1 species
CGUGAUUUCAAGUGUUCGCCAAAUGUCAAAGGCCGUUUCACACGUAGAAAUCCGAUUGAACUCAUUUUUGUCCAAAGCGCAAAAUAAGGCAUUCAUAGCCUUUGCGUUUAAAGAAAAAUACUUCUUCUCCAAAUCCGACCAUUCGUUCGUUGGUUUAGAGGGAAGUUGAAAACCGUUUUCAACGAUAUUCCAUAAAUCCA